rnacentral:rRNA from 1 species
CCUUAGAGUUGAAUCCUGGCUCAGGACGAACGCUGGCGGCGUGCCUAACACAUGCAAGUCGAACGGAAGCAAAGAUUUCGGUUUUUGCUUUAGUGGCGAACGGGUGAGUAACGCGUGAGGAACCUGCCUUUCAGUGGGGGACAACAGUUGGAAACGACUGCUAAUACCGCAUAAUGCUUUUGAGUGGCAUCACUUAAAAGCCAAAGAUUUAUUGCUGAAAGAUGGCCUCGCGUCUGAUUAGCUAGUUGGCGGGGUAACGGCCCACCAAGGCGACGAUCAGUAGCCGGUCUGAGAGGAUGAACGGCCACAUUGGGACUGAGAUACGGCCCAGACUCCUACGGGAGGCAGCAGUGGGGAAUAUUGGGCAAUGGGGGAAACCCUGACCCAGCAACGCCGCGUGAAGGAAGAAGGCCUUCGGGUUGUAAACUUCUUUUACCAGGGGCGAAAGAAAUGACGGUACCUGGAGAAAAAGCAACGGCUAACUACGUGCCAGCAGCCGCGGUAAUACGUAGGUUGCGAGCGUUGUCCGGAUUUACUGGGUGUAAAGGGCGUGUAGGCGGAGAUGCAAGUUGGGAGUGAAAUCCAUGGGCUCAACCCAUGAACUGCUUCCAAAACUGUAUCCCUUGAGUAUCGGAGAGGCAAGCGGAAUUCCUAGUGUAGCGGUGAAAUGCGUAGAUAUUAGGAGGAACACCAGUGGCGAAGGCGGCUUGCUGGACGACAACUGACGCUGAGGCGCGAAAGCGUGGGGAGCAAACAGGAUUAGAUACCCUGGUAGUCCACGCUGUAAACGAUGAAUACUAGGUGUGGGAGGACUGACCCCUUCCGUGCCGCAGUUAACACAAUAAGUAUUCCACCUGGGGAGUACGACCGCAAGGUUGAAACUCAAAGGAAUUGACGGGGGCCCGCACAAGCAGUGGAUUAUGUGGUUUAAUUCGACGCAACGCGAAGAACCUUACCAGGCCUUGACAUCCCUUGCGAAAUCCUGGAGACAGGAGGGAGGCUAUCAAGGAGACAGGUGGUGCAUGGUUGUCGUCAGCUCGUGUCGUGAGAUGUUGGGUUAAGUCCCGCAACGAGCGCAACCCUUGUCUUUAGUUACUAACAUCAAGUUGAGGACUCUAGAGAGACUGCCGGUGAUAAACCGGAGGAAGGUGGGGAUGACGUCAAAUCAUCAUGCCCCUUAUGGCCUGGGCUACACACGUACUACAAUGGCUGUCACAACGUGCAGCGACAGCGCAAGCUGAAGCGAAUCACUGAAAGACAGUCUCAGUUCGGAUUGAGGUCUGCAACCCGACCUCAUGAAGUUGGAAUCGCUAGUAAUCAAGAAUCAGCAUGUCGCGGUGAAUACGUUCUCGG